rnacentral:rRNA from 1 species
UGCAGUCGAGCGGACAGAAGGGAGCUUGCUCCCGGAUGUUAGCGGCGGACGGGUGAGUAACACGUGGGUAACCUGCCUGUAAGACUGGGAUAACUCCGGGAAACCGGAGCUAAUACCGGAUAGUUCCUUGAACCGCAUGGUUCAAGGAUGAAAGACGGUUUCGGCUGUCACUUACAGAUGGACCCGCGGCGCAUUAGCUAGUUGGUGAGGUAACGGCUCACCAAGGCGACGAUGCGUAGCCGACCUGAGAGGGUGAUCGGCCACACUGGGACUGAGACACGGCCCAGACUCCUACGGGAGGCAGCAGUAGGGAAUCUUCCGCAAUGGACGAAAGUCUGACGGAGCAACGCCGCGUGAGUGAUGAAGGUUUUCGGAUCGUAAAGCUCUGUUGUUAGGGAAGAACAAGUGCAAGAGUAACUGCUUGCACCUUGACGGUACCUAACCAGAAAGCCACGGCUAACUACGUGCCAGCAGCCGCGGUAAUACGUAGGUGGCAAGCGUUGUCCGGAAUUAUUGGGCGUAAAGGGCUCGCAGGCGGUUUCUUAAGUCUGAUGUGAAAGCCCCCGGCUCAACCGGGGAGGGUCAUUGGAAACUGGGAAACUUGAGUGCAGAAGAGGAGAGUGGAAUUCCACGUGUAGCGGUGAAAUGCGUAGAGAUGUGGAGGAACACCAGUGGCGAAGGCGACUCUCUGGUCUGUAACUGACGCUGAGGAGCGAAAGCGU